UACGUAGGGCGCAAGCGUUGUCCGGAAUUAUUGGGCGUAAAGAGCUCGUAGGCGGUCUGUCGCGUCUGCCGUGAAAACCCGAGGCUUAACCUCGUGGCUUGCGGUGGAUACGGGCAGACUAGAGGUAGGUAGGGGAGAAUGGAAUUCCCGGUGUAGCGGUGAAAUGCGCAGAUAUCGGGAGGAACACCGGUGGCGAAGGCGGUUCUCUGGGCCUUACCUGACGCUGAGGAGCGAAAGCGUGGGGAGCGAACAGG
rnacentral:rRNA from 2 species